rnacentral:lncRNA from 1 species
GUAGAAAUACCGGUUCUUCCUGUGUUUCAACCAAUAACAGGUUUCAGUAGGGAAAGGUGAAUUAAGUCAAUCAGCUGUUUACUUUUUGAUUCCUUCAGGAGAUAAUAAAGAGCUGCUGUGUGUUAAGAAGCCAGAGACUUUAGUAUUCAAAUAAUAUCAGCAUAAAGAGCAACUGGCCAAGAACCAGACAUUAUAGCUUGUUUCCUUAUUUUUAAAUUACCUCUUUUUUCUUUGACAACUGCAUGGCUACACCCAGAAAAGCAGUGAUUAUAUCCAGAACCCAGAGAGGUCCCUCAUAACAUGAAAAUGUUGUGACAUCAUAGUCCUUGGUUAAGGAAAUUAUAAUGAUGGCAGAGAUUAAAGCCACAGUAUAAGACAGGCAAGGGAAGAGAAGAGCCUCAGAAGAGAGUUUCUUGCUCAAAAAAAGCAUUAAAACUUUCUUUUUUUGAGGGAGAAUUGUUAAAAGAUGCUGAAUGCUGUUCUGUCCAGAUGACAAAACUGCAGAAAUACAGCUGUUGUUGUAUCUCGGGAGUAUCAAAGGAGGCAUCAACCAAAGUGGAUAAAUUUACUUUGACAUUUAAACACUUCUUGUUGUGUGAGGGAAGGGGGAAUUACCACACAUCAUAUGACAUCAUGUAUCGUUCAACACUUCGGAAGAAAAAUGGAGAGCAAGAGCUGUUUGAAGUCUGGGAUGUUGUUUUUUUCCCCUCUUCUCCUCCUUCCAAUUUUCACAAUUUAUUGGGAAACACCCCUUUUCUGAAGCACUGUAUUGACCUUUUGGACACAGGGGAGCUCUCCUGCAGUUGGUUUUGCCAUCACAAUAAACCUUUUAAGGACAGUAAUUCUAGUCUUCAGCACACCGUUCACUGUCGUUAGCAACAUAAUGCAAGUAGUUUCAAGGACCCUUAACAGCAGCUAAAAAGGACUGCUUGAAACAAAUUUAGACUUGAUAAACUCAGGUCUGAGGUCUGGAAUAUUGCUUUAAGUGGUAAAUACUGGUCUUUGUUUGCAGUGUCAUGUAAAACCAUCUUCCUGAAGCCACCAGGCUUUCCAUACCUUUGUUCUGUGGUGGGGGAGGAGGAAAGCAAGAUUUCAGCUUCUAAAAGCAAAUGACAAGUAGUUUCAGAACCUAAAUACUAACACACCAACCUGCUGGCUUCAUUUGUAUUCAACAGAUGCUUCGUUUUUUUCCCCCUCGCUGCCUAGUCUGUAGUGAUCAGUAUAAACAAUGGAAUUUUUGUCUUUAGAACAUAUUCUUGUUCUGUUUCACUCGAAGGUAGAGAUAAACAUGCAAGAAAAAAAAAAAAUGAGAAAAAAAAGGAGAAAAGCGACCUUCACGGGCACAUAUUUAUAGCUUUUUUAAGAUUGUUAUGUAAAGCUUUAAGAAAUACUCUGGAAUUUGGCUGAGAGAUUCAUGAAAUCAGUAUAAGAGGCGUAUAAGCUUUAAACAGAAAAAUAAAACAACAACAAUAAAAACCUGAGGGAUCCA